rnacentral:rRNA from 1 species
ACUCCUACGGAAGGCAGCAGUGGGGAAUAUUGGACAAUGGGNGAAAGCNUGAUCCAGCCAUGCCGCGUGAGUNAANAAGGCCUUAGGGUUGUAAAGCUCUUUCACCGGUGAAGAUAAUGACGGUANCCGNAGAAGAAGCGUCGGCUAACUCC